rnacentral:rRNA from 1 species
AUGCCGCGUGCAGGAAGACUGCCCUAUGGGUUGUAAACUGCUUUUUUACGGGAAGAAACACCCCCACGUGUGGGGGCUUGACGGUACCGUACGAAUAAGGACCGGCUAACUCCGUGCCAGCAGCCGCGGUAAUACGGAGGGUCCGAGCGUUAUCCGGAAUCAUUGGGUUUAAAGGGUCCGUAGGCGGGCGUCUAAGUCAGUGGUGAAAUCCCGCAGCUCAACUGUGGAAUUGCCAUUGAUACUGGUCGCCUUGAAUUAGUGUGAAGUGGCUAGAAUAUGUAGUGUAGCGGUGAAAUGCUUAGAUAUUACAUAGAAUACCGAUUGCGAAGGCAGGUCACUAACACUAUAUUGACGCUGAUGGACGAAAGCGUGGGGAGCGAACAGGAUUAGAUACCCUGGUAGUCCACGCCGUAAACGAUGGAUACUAGCUGUCCGGCCUGCAUUGGUAGGCUGGGUGGCCAAGCGAAAGUGAUAAGUAUCCCACCUGGGGAGUACGUUCGCAAGAAUGAAACUCAAAGGAAUUGACGGGGGCCCGCACAAGCGGUGGAGCAUGUGGUUUAAUUCGAUGAUACGCGAGGAACCUUACCAGGGCUUAAAUGUAGUCUGACAGGGGUGGAAACACCCCCUUCUUCGGACAGACUGCAAGGUGCUGCAUGGUUGUCGUCAGCUCGUGCCGUGAGGUGUCAGGUUAAGUCCUAUA